GGCACGAUGGCGGAGUGGUUAACGCGAUGCCCUGCUAAUUUCCUAUAGAUUAGCAUUGUUAGGCAUUUCCCUCGGGAGCGCAGGUUCGAAUCCUGCUCGUGUCG